AAGCCAUAUGGCGACAUAGAGCGGAACCCGAAAACCUGUCUCAGUUCGGAUUGGAGUCUGCAACCCGACUCCAUGAAGCUGGAUUCGCUAGUAAUCGCGCAUCAGCCACGGCGCGGUGAAUACGUUCCCGGGCCUUGUACACACCGCCCGUCACACCAUGGAAGUUGGUAACACCCGAAGCCUGUAGCCUAACCGCAAGGAGGGCGCAGUCGAAGGUGGGAUUAAUGACUGGGGUGAAGUCGUAACAAGGUACC
rnacentral:rRNA from 1 species